UUUAUACGUCGAAUUUUGGUCGCGUCGAAUGAGAUUUAACAAUAGAUAAUGAAGCUUAAAUUAAUGAGGCUUAUCAUCUUAUUAUUUAUUGUCUUAAUUGCAUUCGACGCGACCAAAAUUCGACGCAUAAA